rnacentral:lncRNA from 1 species
UGGAGGAUGCCGGAACGUCUAGAGAGAAUCACCGACCCUCCGACUAUUCUUGUCAAUUAAGAUUGAAUUGAGAGCACCUGGUACGUACGUGUUGGGUUAAAACUCACAACCUUAGUGAUGACAGGCUAGUGAUCCAGUAGUUGAACUACUUAGACCACUCGGCUACUGAGGGUAUCUUAUAUCAUACUGUAGUAUAUCAGUAAUGUAAAACAAUAUAUUCAAUGCAUAUCUUGUAUGAAAUUAGAAAAUUACAUCCAUUUAAAAAGUUACUGAUAUGACACUGGUUUUAGGCAAAAUGUUUAUAUAUGUGUGAUUUUAAAAGACGUGUUGUCCGAGAGCUCAGCUAAUUUUUACAAGCAACA